CGCAGCAGAAGGGGAAGAAGUCGGUUGAGACGCUCGGUUUCUUACUCAGGAGGUAACAGAGAUUCUUUCGUGAUGCCCUGCGGAGUCAGAUGUUGCCCUUCUAUCUGCCGCCCCUGCUGGCCACCAUGUUAUAAUCCGUGCAAUCAAGGAUGCUAUGGCCCUUUGCAGUGGAGCUGCUGCUGCCGCUAGACACUCACAGAGAUGGCAACACAG